rnacentral:rRNA from 1 species
AUUGAGCGCUGGCGGCAGGCCUAACACAUGCAAGUCGAGCGGAUGAGGGGAGCUUGCUCCCUGAUUUAGCGGCGGACGGGUGAGUAAUGCCUAGGAAUCUGCCUGGUAGUGGGGGAUAACGUUCCGAAAGGAACGCUAAUACCGCAUACGUCCUACGGGAGAAAGCAGGGGACCUUCGGGCCUUGCGCUAUCAGAUGAGCCUAGGUCGGAUUAGCUAGUUGGUGAGGUAAUGGCUCACCAAGGCGACGAUCCGUAACUGGUCUGAGAGGAUGAUCAGUCACACUGGAACUGAGACACGGUCCAGACUCCUACGGGAGGCAGCAGUGGGGAAUAUUGGACAAUGGGCGAAAGCCUGAUCCAGCCAUGCCGCGUGUGUGAAGAAGGUCUUCGGAUUGUAAAGCACUUUAAGUUGGGAGGAAGGGCUGCUGGUUAAUACCCUGCAGUUUUGACGUUACCAACAGAAUAAGCACCGGCUAACUUCGUG